CCUACGGGUGGCAGCAGUGAGGAAUAUUGGUCAAUGGACGAGAGUCUGAACCAGCCAAGUAGCGUGAAGGAUGACUGCCCUAUGGGUUGUAAACUUCUUUUAUAAAGGAAUAAAACGAGGCACGUGUGCCUUUUUGCAUGUACUUUAUGAAUAAGGAUCGGCUAACUCCGUGCCAGCAGCCGCGGUAAUACGGAGGAUCCGAGCGUUAUCCGGAUUUAUUGGGUUUAAAGGGAGCGUAGAUGGGUUGUUAAGUCAGUUGUGAAAGUUUGCGGCUCAACCGUAAAAUUGCAAUUGAUACUGGCAGUCUUGAGUACAGUUGAGGUAGGCGGAAUUCGUGGUGUAGCGGUGAAAUGCUUAGAUAUCACGAAGAACCCCGAUUGCGAAGACAGCUCACUAAACUGUGACUGACAUUGAUGCUCGAAAGUGUGGGUAUCAAACAGGAUUAGAUACCCCAGUAGUC
rnacentral:rRNA from 1 species